UACCAGACUCCUACGGGAGGCAGCAGUGAGGAAUAUUGGUCAAUGGCCGGGAGGCUGAACCAGCCAAGUCGCGUGAGGGAAGACGGCCCUACGGGUUGUAAACCUCUUUUGUCAGGGAGCAAGGUGCAGGGCGGGACCUGCUGUGAGAGUACCUGAAGAAAAAGCAUCGGCUAACUCCGUGCCAGCAGCCGCGGUAAUACGGAGGAUGCGAGCGUUAUCCGUAUUUAUUGGGUUUAACGGGUGCGCAGGCGGAGGCACAAGUCAGCGUUAAAAUCGCGGGGCCAAACCCCGCUCCGCCGUUGAAACUGUGUCCCUUGAGUGCGCGAAGGGUAGGCGGAAUGCGUGGUGUAGCGGUGAAAUGCAUAGAUAUCACGCAGAACUCCGAUUGCGAAGGCAGCAUGCCGGCUCCACACUGACGCUGAGGCACGAAAGCGUGGGUAUCGAACAGGAUUAGAUACCCUAGUA
rnacentral:rRNA from 1 species